rnacentral:rRNA from 1 species
UACGUAGGGUGCGAGCGUUAAUCGGAAUUACUGGGCGUAAAGCGUGCGCAGGCGGUUUGCUAAGACCGAUGUGAAAUCCCCCGGGCUUAACCUGGGAACUGCAUUGGUGACUGGCAGGCUAGAGUAUGGCAGAGGGGGGUAGAAUUCCACGUGUAGCAGUGAAAUGCGUAGAGAUGUGGAGGAAUACCGAUGGCGAAGGCAGCCCCCUGGGCCAAUACUGACGCUCAUGCACGAAAGCGUGGGGAGCAAACAGG